AAAGUGGCGCACGGGUGAGUAACGCGUGGGUAACCUGCCCUUGAAUCGGGGAUACCCCCGUGAAAACGGGACCAAUACCGGAUAUUGUCCCCGAAACCGUGGUUUCGGGAAUGAAAGGUGACCUAUCCAUGGAAGUUGCCGUUCAGGGAGGGGCCCGCGUACCAUUAGCUUGUUGGUGGGGUAAUGGCCUACCAAGGCAACGAUGGUUAGCUGGUCUGAGAGGAUGAUCAGCCACACUGGAACUGAAACACGGUCCAGACUCUUACGGGAGGCAGCAGUGAGGAAUUUUGCGCAAUGGGGGAAACCCUGACGCAGUAACGCCGCGUGAGUGAAGAAGGCCUUCGGGUCGUAAAGCUCUGUCAAGUGGGAAAAAAUGCUUUUGGUCAAUAGCCGGAAGCCCUGAUGGUACCACUGGAGGAAGCACCGGCUAACUCCGUGCCAGCAGCCGCGGUAAUACGGAGGGUGCAAGCGUUGUUCGGAAUUACUGGGCGUAAAGAGCGUGUAGGCGGUUUGGUAAGUCAGAUGUGAAAGCCCUGGGCUCAACCCAGGAAGUGCAUUUGAAACUGCCAUACUUGAGUAUGGGAGAGGAGAGUGGAAUUCCCAGUGUAGAGGUGAAAUUCGUAGAUAUUGGGAGGAACACCCGUGGCGAAGGCGACUCUCUGGACCAAUACUGACGCUGAGACGCGAAAGCGUGGGUAGCAAACAGGAUUAGAUACCCUG
rnacentral:rRNA from 1 species